AAGUCGUAACAAGGUUUCCGUAGGUGAACCUGCGGAAGGAUCAUUACUGAGGUUUCCCGGCGCAAGCUGGGGCGAACCCGACCUAUUGUCAUGUGCACGUUGGGGGAGAACGGUGGCGUGUUGGCGUUGUGGCGUGUGACGGAUCGUACCCGAGAGGGUGGAUCCGGAGCGGCCCGCGCUACCGCUGGCGCCCUGACGAACCUUAACUUCGGCGGAAGAGGUAGGCUCGACCUGCCCGCCACCGGCCGUAACGUAUUUUACUCUGCAAACGAGAAUCUGAAGCCUGAUGUAUACCCAAAACAAAAUGAAAAGCAAAACUUUCAACAACGGAUCUCUUGGCUCUG
rnacentral:misc_RNA from 1 species